rnacentral:rRNA from 1 species
GACCACGAGACCGAUAGCAAACAAGUCCCGUGAGGGAAAGUUGAAAAGAACUUUGAAGAGAGAGUUCAAGAGUACGUGAAACCGUUCAGGGGUAAACCUGAGAAAUCCAAAAGAUCGAAUGGGGAGAUUCAUCGUCAACGGCGUUGGCUAUCGACGGAUCUGCGAUGAUUCGGUGCGUUUCGGCGCAACGACACGCUUUCGUCGGUUGGGUCCGGCGUCGUCGGCGUGCACUUCUCCCCUAGUAGAACGUUGCGAUCCGUUGGGUGUCGGUCUACGGGACGGCAAGGUAGACUAUUGCGUUACGCGUCUCGGCGCGUGCGCUUUAGACCGCCGUUGGUUGCCGACCGGCUGCCCGACGGUAAAAGUCGUUGAACAUAUCGACAAUGGUAAGGGGUCGCAGUUGCAACGAUCGUGUUCCUCGGGACGCGAUCGUGCGUUGUGCGUCAGCCACGGCGACGGGUUGUCCUCGUUCGGAUAACGAAGUUCAUUGCGUCGUAUCCGGGCGUGCGAUGACCGCUGUCGUCGUUGUCCUCUGACGGGC